AUAAAAAGUGUAGUCUUUCGCAUCGAGUUAUUUAUUUUCAAGAAAGAUUUGAUAUGAGAUGCAAACUGUAGUCCUGCUAUUCUGGUUUACUAUAAUUGAAUCUUCAUAGUUGCUCCUGCUUGAAGUUCAACUAAAGAAAAAUAUCUUUUGGCUAUAGCCGCGUAUUUAUGUGUUUGGUUGCUGGUAUUCCAUAAUUGACAAUGCAAAAAAUUAUUUGUUAAAUUGCAGAUUAGUAAUGGCAGGUUCUUUAUGUUUGAAGAAAUAAAAAUAUUUUUUUUCAAAAUUUUUUUUCUUGGAACCAAAAUGAGUAAAUUGUCAUGGCUUCUUUUUUUAGUGUUCUUGAUAUCUCAUACUUUUUUUUAGUUGUUCGGCUUUGAAUCUAAUGUAAAAUAAUUGAUGUUUCUUCCCAACUAACACCUAGAGGGGAUAAAUAGGUGUAUAAUGUGGAAUUAAAUUAACCACCAAUAAUAAGCAGUCACUAAUUAUUGACUCUAGAUGAACAAGUUUAAUUAAAUUAACCUAAUUAUUAAUCAAUCAAGCAUUCAAAUCCAAGCAGUAAAAGUAAAGAACACCAAUAUUUGUUAACAAAGGAAAACCCUUGAAGAACUCCCCAUGGAUAAGGAAAUCUUAUGACCACGCAACUUAUAAAUCAUCAAAGAACUCUUCAAUUGUGCCACCUGCACUUUCCAGAAACUCUGACUUCUUUUCCGUCCAUAUGGAUCACCAAAAAGCGAACCUUGUUCUUCUCCUAGUGGAACUCCAUCUGUCUCUCCUGAACUUCUGAAGGUAAAGGAU
rnacentral:lncRNA from 1 species